rnacentral:rRNA from 1 species
CUGAAUAACUUUGCUGAUCACAUGGUCCUAGUACCGGUGACAUAUCUUUCAAGUGUCUGCCCUAUCAACUUUCGAUGGUAGUUUAUGUGCCUACCAUGGUUGUAACGGGUGACGGAGAAUAAGGGUUCGACUCCGGAGAGGGAGCCUGAGAAAUGGCUACCACAUCCAAGGAAGGCAGCAGGCGCGCAAAUUACCCACUCUCAGUACGAGGAGGUAGUGACGAAAAAUAACGAGAUGGUUCUCUAUGAGGCCCAUCAUCGGAAUGGGUACAAUUUAAACCCUUUAACGAGGAUCUAUUGGAGGGCAAGUCUGGUGCCAGCAGCCGCGGUAAUUCCAGCUCCAAUAGCAUAUACCAAUUCUGUUUGCUGUUAAAAA